CUACAAAUGAUGGCAAUAUUUUCUAGUAGUGGUUUACUUAGUGAAUAUUGAUACUUUGGGUCUGAGUGA